UUAGUUGCCAUCAUUCAGUUGGGCACUCUAGCGAGACUGCCGGUAAUAAACCGGAGGAAGGUGGGGAUGACGUCAAAUCAUCAUGCCCUUAUGACCUGGGCUACACACGUGCUACAAUGGUUGGUACAACGAGUUGCGAGUCGGUGACGGCGAGCUAAUCUCUUAAAGCCAAUCUCAGUUCGGAUUGUAGGCUGCAACUCGCCUACAUGAAGUCGGAAUCGCUAGUAAUCGCAGAUCAGCACGCUGCGGUGAAUACGUUCCCGGGCCUU
rnacentral:rRNA from 1 species